CAGACAUAAGUUUCUUUAGUGGAUCAUACACUUUCUAAUCUGUUCUAAGGGGUUGGAAAUUUGUAAAAAAAAAGUAGNGAAACCUUUAUUUUCUAUCUAUCUUGGGAUACAGCCAAGACCGUUAGAGGUUAUACUUAGUAAUUACUUUAUACUUUAAAUAUGUAAAAUUAUAAAUGCUUUAGAAUUGCUUGAGCCGUAUGCGGUGAAAGUCGCACGUACGGUUCUUAGUGGGGGAAAGGCUGUGAGGCCCUACCUAUCACAAUUAGAUACCCUAGCACUCCCAACUGUAAACGAUGAAUGGUAGGUGUUAAUUAUGANUAAAAUUAGUACCGAUGUGAACACGUUAACCAUUCCGCCUUGUGAGUAUACUUNNAAAAG
rnacentral:rRNA from 1 species